CACGGAGGGUGCAAGCGUUGUUCGGAAUUACUGGGCGUAAAGCGCGCGUAGGCGGUUUGCUAAGUCAGAUGUGAAAGCCCAUGGCUCAACCAUGGACGUGCAUUUGAAACUGGCAGACUUGAGUAUUGGAGGGGGUGGUGGAAUUCCCGGUGUAGAGGUGAAAUUCGUAGAGAUGCGGAGGAACACCGAUGGCGAAGGCAGCCCCCUC
rnacentral:rRNA from 1 species